GGGCGUAAAGCGCAUGCAGGUGGUUUGUUAAGUCAGAUGUGAAAGCCCUGGGCUCAACCUAGGAAUCGCAUUUGGAACUGACAAGCUAGAGUACUGUAGAGGGGGGUAGAAUUUCA
rnacentral:rRNA from 1 species